rnacentral:lncRNA from 1 species
GGAGCUGCAAACUGCCCUCAGGGCAAAGAAGCCUGCAGAAUAAUUGGGAGGAGUCUGGCAGGAAGGAAGCCAAGAAAGCACAAGCAAGAAUGUGUGAGAAGAUCACAGAGACCUAAAGAAGGGGAAGGGAAGAACCCACAUGUGAGAGAGAAGAGAUUGUCUGACUUGGUCUCUUAGGGCUCCUCAUCUCAAGAAGCCAGCAGGCAAGGGAAGGACAAACCAUCCUUGCAGGAAUAAUUCGUACUGAUCAUUUGGAGGAGAUUCGGCUAGUAUAGCUGCUGUUACAUAAUGAAGAAAAGGAAGAAUAUGUUUCAAACUCAGAUGAACCACUGGGGAGUCUCUUGAUACUCUGUUGCCUAAUUUGGAUGGUUAAUGGUCAGUGUUCCUAAUUGCACUGCCCCUGGAAAACGCACGGAGAAGAAAUACAGCAAAAUACAUGAGAUGGUGAAACACUCUGGCAACUGCAAGCGGACAGAUGGGAUCUGGGAGGUAAUGCAGGGUCACAGGGCAGUUACACCAGGAUAUUUGGUUCUUUCCUACUCUCCUUUCCCCACCCUCAAUGCUAUAUACAUAACUGCUAGUGAAUCAAUUUAUGUACAUAUCCCAGAUAUCUAGGACUGGUUGAGGCGGGUUAUCCAAGAGAGUCACAGUGUAUUACCAUUUUUUAUUAAGUACAACCAGACCAACAGAGAACUGAUUAACUCAACCACUGAACUUUAUGUUUUCCCCCAUCAUCUAUAGAAUUGAUUUUACUGGAUUUUGACAUGUCAGUUUAUCACUUACUUUAUCCUUCAGUGAAGGACACACUAAGGAAUGGAGUUAUUAAGCUUGUUCUACUGGCUGUGAGGAUGUUGUUGAGGGACAUUGUUCAUGACGUUAUGUUGUGUCAUUUUUAUGAGGACUCAAUGGAAGGACUUCUGUCUGAUUUCAGUACUGGAAGUAGUCAUACUUCUCCUGAGCAACCAUUUUCUUUCUCCGUUAUAAAAAUCUCAUUGUCUCUGUGAA